GANGCCAGAUAAUAAAAAAGUCAUGUCCACGAGGUGGAACUUGUAUUGGGAAGCGGACAAGCGUCCUACAAACGAGGCCACUCCGAAGAAUGUCCUUAGCGAAAUACUUAUUACGCCAAGUCAAACCAAGUCUCAAAGACAGAUCCAGCUAAUACAUUUAAGGUGAGCCGCUCGUAAAAGCGGCAAGCACCCAAUUCCAAGCCAAGACUAGAGCACAAAACCCAAGUCAAGGUUGAUAUUUUCAUGACACUCAAACAGGCAUGCUCUUCGGAAUACCAAAGAGCGCAAGGUGCGUUCAAAGAUUCGAUGAUUCACUGAAUUCUGCAAUUCACAUUACUUAUCGCAUUUCGCUGCGUUCUUCAUCGAUGCGAGAGCCAAGAGAUCCGUUGUUGAAAGUUUUAUUAGGUUAUAAUAAGACUACGUUUGUUACAUUAAUUGUUUGUUAAAAAUGGGCAGACGAUGACUUGGCCAAAGACCUCAUCAUACGUCUUACAGUUCACAGGUGUUAGGAUGUGAUUUAAGCAAGGGCCUUNCCGAAGCGAAGACACCAAGCAUGUNUAANUCACUAAUGAUCCUUCCGCANGUNCACCUACGGAAACNUGNUACGACUUUNACUUCCUCUAAAUGANCAAGUUUGAUCAGCUNCUCAGCANANGANGCCGUNGCAGCUNNCAAAGCCAAUCNGAGAUCUACUAGCCAUCA
rnacentral:misc_RNA from 1 species